ACAACAAAAACAAAAAACCAGAAGCACCCAUAACAAGAACAAAACGAAGCGGCUCCUGAAUAACAAGAACAACAGGAUGGGGACGUAGCAAACUGAUUCUUUUGGAGAGGAGUUGCCCAGAGGUUUCUCUCGACCGGAGCGAGAACAACAAAACUGCCAUGCAAGGCAGCACCAGAACCGGUUGGCCCGCGAGGGCAGGCAGCAUCAGCGACCAAAAUAAUCCGUUUGUUCCUCGGUUCCAUUUGGAACCAUGGGCCCUGAGGCCCGGCCGGGCUGCAAACAAGAACAACAAGCCCGUCAGCAGAAGAAGAACAAAGCACGAUCCCUUCAAGGGGAAGCCUCACGGCUUCCCCUUUUGCUUUUCUGCGGUCUGCCAUUUUGGUGUGC
rnacentral:sRNA from 1 species